GAAAAUUUGCUCUUUUAGUAUUUGUCUAGUAGGGUCCAAAAAGUAAUGGACCCCCU
ensembl:snRNA U7 U7 small nuclear RNA